AUUGAACGCUGGCGGCAGGCUUAACACAUGCAAGUCGAACGAGUGGCGGACGGGUGAGUAAUGCUUGGGAAUCUAGCUUAUGGAGGGGGAUAACUACGGGAAACUGUAGCUAAUACCGCGUACCAGAGGAUGCGCCCAAGUGGGAUUAGGUAUUUGGUGAGGUAACGGCUCACCAAGCCGACGAUCUCUAGCUGGUCUGAGAGGAUGACCGGCCACAUUGGGAGUGAGACACGGCCCAGACACCUACGGGAGGAAGCAGUGGGGAACCUUCCGUAAUGGACGAAAGUUGAAGGAGCAACGCGGCGUGAGUGAUGACGGCCUUCGGGUUGCAAAGCUCGUUAAGCGGGACGACGGUACCGGAAUAGAAAGCCACGGCUAACUACGUGCCAGCAGCCGCGGUAAUUC
rnacentral:rRNA from 1 species